GCUUACGGACAUACCAGCCCAAGAACGCCCGAUCUCGUCUGAUCUCGGAAGCUAAGAAGGCUUGGGCCUGGUUAGUACUUGGAAGGGACACCUCCUGGGAAUACCAGGUUCUGUAAGCU
ensembl:rRNA 5S_rRNA 5S ribosomal RNA